rnacentral:lncRNA from 1 species
UAACAACUAAAAGAGAGAUGACAAAGAAAAAGAACACAUCGAAAGCUGGACAGAAAAAAAUACUCGCCGCUUAAAAGCUUUCUUUCAGAAGAAGUCCGGCUUUCAACAAUGAGUAAAGCCCAUACCAUAUAUAGUCGGCUAUCAAAUGCCCCGGCAAUAAAAAUGUGAAACAAUUCAAACGAGAAAACUAGUGGCCUAAUUGUUAAAACAAAAUAGUUUAAGAAAACAAAACGAACCAACAACUACUGUACUACAAGCACCUAACUUCGGAAUAGCACAUACAGAAUGUGGUGGGAAUAAAUAUAUUCAUGGGCGCUCGACACUACACCCCCCCCAAAAAAAAAAAAAUACACACAAGAAAGCUCCUACCUAGGACAGCACACAAUAGG